GAUGAACGCUGGCGGCGUGCCUAAUACAUGCAAGUCGAGCGAACAGACGAGGAGCUUGCUCCUUUGACGUUAGCGGCGGACGGGUGAGUAACACGUGGAUAACCUACCUAUAUGACUGGGAUAACUUCGGGAAACCGGAGCUAAUAACAGAUAAUAUAUUGCACCGCAUGGUGCAAUAGUGAAAGACGGUUUUUGUGUCUCGUAUAGAUGGAUCCGCGCCGGCUUAGCUAGUUGGUAAGGUAACGGCUUACCAAGGCUACGAGGCGUAGCCGACCUGAGAGGGUGAUCGGCCACACUGGAACUGAGACACGGUCCAGACUCCUACGGGAGGCAGCCGUAGGGAAUCGUCCGCAAUGGGCGAAAGCCUGACGGAGCAACGCCGCGUGAGUGAUGAAGGUCUUCGGAUCGUAAAACUCUGUUAUUAGGGAAGAACAAAUGUGUAAGUAACUAUGCACGUCUUGACGGUACCUAAUCAGAAAGCCACGGCUAACUACGUG
rnacentral:rRNA from 1 species